ensembl:lncRNA
AUGCUUUAUAUGAUGUGCUAUCAUGAUCUACGAAUGAUGGUCUCUGCAGGUUUACAUCACAUGCAUGGUGAAGGUGGCCGUAAGCAACAACGACUCCAAAUCCUGAACAGAAAGCUUGUUCCUUCUCUGCUAAUGGUUGGGUGUCUGCAGAUGGUUCUGACCAGGUGUGUGGCUGCUGUGACUCCACGUGUAGUACCAGAAGAGGAAGUGACCAGCCCCAUAAAGAUCUGCGUUGGGAUAAAUCCUCUGUUGGGCCCAUCAGUGUUAAGGAAUCUGGCCAUGGCCAAAAAUAACUGGAAGUGCUGUGACUUUAUUAAAGUGAUCUUAAUGGGUUGUGCAUUUGUCUUGCGCUUUUUCUCCCUCAAAUCUACAAUUUGAAUCCUGUUAUGUGGCUUUUCUGGCACUUGCAUACGAGCCAAACUGCUUGUGACCACUCAAGAUGGUCUUAUAAAGGGGUCCUAUUAAGGGGGGGGGGGGGUGACCUAGAAUUCGUGCAUUUCAUCCAAAGUGAACACACCCGGCGCAGUGGCCAGCCAUUUAUGCUGCAGUGCCUGGGGAGCAUUUUGGGGUUCAGUGCCUUUGAUCAAGGGCACCUAAGUUGUGGUAUUGCCGGCCUGAGAUUCAAACCCACCUCCCUGGGGUUAGGAGUCAAAAUCUCUAAACACUAGGCCAUGACUUCCCCAAUUCUGCUCCCUUACAUAGUCUUGAUUUUGUUUUGGAGGUUUACAAGAACAGGAUCUCAAACUGCCAGAAAUAAAUGCCAGUUAGAAUUGUGAAUUCGUCCCCUUGGAAUUAUAAGGUUAUAUCUGACAUUUUUGUCAUUGAGUUAUUCCCAUAUUGUUCUGUGAGAACUUAUUUACAUUAUGGGAAAUUUUUUUUAUGUGUGAAGCUCAAUAUCUCAAUGGUUUUUAUUAACAAGAUUCGGGAAGAGCGCAUCAGAUACUUAGCCUAAUCGACAAACGUGGACCAAAUCAAGUAAUCAACCCUAUAGUAUAAAUAUAGCUGACUUACCUCUAUCCAUUGACUAUUUAUCAGCAUGCUGGUUCGCUUCGUCUGUCACCUUAUCACAGACCCAAUUUUGCUACCAACGAAGAGAGCUAUACUGGGGAUUUAUCAGAUCUGCUGCUUUUGCCGGACCCGCAAUCAAUACCCAGCCAAACACGGCCAUUGACCACCAUUAAGCAUCAUCGUGACAGCUGCUCUCCUCGCCAAGCCACACGACACGUCGUGGCCAAUUGACCGUGCAAGCUCCGAGCUCGCCUUGCUCGGCAUAACGAUCAUGCCGCCCAAAGACCGCACUCUCCUUGAGUGCUGGAUUGCAGAAGCAGCAGGCAUUCAACCAGCCAGGGCCACACCCCAGUUCUCACCGCAGCAAGCCUCUCUCACUUCCCGUCGUGGAUCAGCCUUUCACCGUGGCUUUUCCGCCCGAGGCGCAGUUCGAGGCCGCUUCCUCUAGCGGCGCAGACGUAGACCAAUACAUUUUCACGUGAAGCAGGUUAAAAAGCAGGUUCGCGGCUAAAGUUUGUUAAAUGAAGUCAUGACGCAGUUCCGUCUUCUUCUUCUACUAGUGUUUUAUGCCGGUUUUGGAAAACCAGAGUAAAGGUGCAUUACUGCCACUUGCUGAUGUGUGGAGUGCACAUAGAUUUGGAAGAUGGACACAAACGUAGUUCUGUCGGAUUACGAUGCCAUUUUUAACCACGAAGCCUUCAUCCUCACUGAAAUGUCCAAGACAUUACAUUCGCCUUACCGCGCACGUUUAAACCUCACUGAAAUGAUACAGACCUAAGUUUCAUGAUGGGUUAAAAAAAAAAACUAUCGAUUGCCUGAAUGCACUGUUAAGUCGCUUUGGAUAAAAGCGUCUGCUAAAUGCAUAAAUGUAAUUUUAAAUGCUAAUUUCCACGCAAGUUUUCUGGCAGGACCAAUUUAAUUAGGGACCUAUUUCACCAUUCACUGGCAUGAUCACUCAAAAUUCAUCUAAAACACAACUGCCCUCGUGUUUUGACGCAGGACAGCAAGUGUGAGUAAAAUGUCUGUUGCCUUUUUAGGACCGUAAUACGAAAAACAGGCAAGUAAAAUAUCUUUAGAAACCACUUGGAAGCGAAUAGCACACUAUUAGCCCAUUUACAUCACUCUCUUACUUGAUCUUGACAAACCGUGCAUCAUUUGAAAGUAUUGAUAUUUGACCAAUUUUUUUUUUUAUAAAACAUCACUUCAGUGACAGUUAUUUAGUAAUUUAUGUCAGGAAAAUGAUUCUGAUUCCUGAACAAUAAACGUUGAAGUGUCAGCUCGUGGACAAAUGUUGAUCAUGUAUCUAGUCAGAAAGAAUCAUGAGCAGAAACAUUUUAUUUUGGCUAUGUAAUUUCUGUCUCCAUGCCAAAAAGGGGGGUGACUGGUCAGGGGUUAACGUUACUGCUAUAAUCAUGUCUUUUGGUACAACGUCUUACAAGACUAAACAUGCUUCAUCAUUUUCAAAAGCCUCUGUUUCCAAAGUCCAUACUGCAACGUGAAAACAGCGUUCCAAAUUAACGUUACUGCUAUAAUCAUGUCUUUUGGUACAACGUCUUACAAGACUAAACAUGCUUCAUCAUUUUCAAAAGCCUCUGUUUCCACAGUCCAUACUGCAACGUGAAAACAGCGUUCCAAAUUAACGUUACUGCUAUAAUCAUGUCUUUUGGUACAACGUCUUACAAGA